UACGAAGGGGGCAAGCGUUACUCGGAAUUACUGGGCGUAAAGCGCGUGUAGGCGGUGUAUCAAGUCAGAUGUGAAAUCCCAAGGCUUAACCUUGGAACUGCAUUUGAAACUGAUACGCUUGAAUCUGGUAGAGGAUAGUGGAAUUCCUAGUGUAGUAGUGAAAUACGUAGAUAUUAGGAGGAACACCAGUGGCGAAGGCGGCUAUCUGGACCAGUAUUGACGCUAAGACGCGAAAGCGUGGGGAGCAAACAGG
rnacentral:rRNA from 1 species